rnacentral:misc_RNA from 1 species
GAUGAAGAACGUAGCGAAAUGCGAUACGUAAUGUGAAUUGCAGAAUUCAGUGAAUCAUCGAAUCUUUGAACGCAUAUUGCGCUCUCUGGUAUUCCGGAGAGCAUGCUUGUUUGAGUAUCAGUAAACACCUCAACUUCCAUAUCUUUUUUGAAAUGGGAGUUGGACUUGAGUGAUCCCAACGCUUUUCCUCACCGAAAAGUGGCGGGUUACUUGAAAUGCAGGUGCAGCUGGACUUUUCUCUGAGCUAUAAGCAUAUCUAUUUAGUCUGCCUAAAAAACAGAUUAUUACCUUUGCUGCAGCUAACAUAAAGGAGAUUAGUUCUUGUGCUGACUGAUGCAGGAUUCACAAAGACAGGCUUCGGCCGACUUUGUAAACUCGAUCUCAAAUCAAGUAAGACUACCCGCUGAACUUAAGCAUAUCAAUAAGCGGAGGC